UACUAUUAUUUUUAAAGAAUAAUCCAUCAAAACUCCCCGAGAAACCCCUAAUUUUGUCAUCCGACUGCUAUGCGAACUGCGUCUCGGCGAUCUAUAAAGUCCCAACUCCCAAGCCGCGACUUUCAGCUUCCCAUAGCCGACACCUCCAAAACAUUUCCAGUUUCACCGUCGCCACCAGGCCACGCCCUCCCCGUUCACUGUUAAUUUCUGCCUUAUCUCCUUGCUUCUCACCCUUUCUGCUCUGCCAAAAAGACAACAGAUCUUACUUCUUUCUCUCCUUGUAUUCAAAGGCCACGAUAUCUUUCACGGGUCAGAUCAUCUCCUGUAUUUGGAAGAAAACAAAUAUUGUUAAUCCCAAAAUUCGUGGAAACUCAUUGAAUGUGCAAAAUGAGUCUGGUGACUGAUUCUCUGGUACACUCGUCUAGUAGCGAUGACUUUGCAGCUUUUCUUGAUGCAGAGUUGGAUUCUAAAUCCUCAGACUCAUCACCGAAUGAAGAAGAAGCUAAGGGUGAAUUUGAUUCUGAUUCUUCAGAUUCAUCACCAAAUGAAGAAGCUGAGAAUGAUUCUGACACUGAAAACCAUAGGAUAAAAAGGUCUAGGGUGGAGAAAUUGGAGAACAUAGAAGAUCCUAAAAGAUCAACGUCUAAUGGAUCCCUAGAGCAGAACUUAGGAGCAUCCUCAAGUAAGGAUGCCUGCAUACAUCCAGGAUCUUUUGGAGACAUGUGUAUACUCUGUGGGCAAAAGUUGAAUGAGGAAACUGGUGUCACGUUUGGAUACAUACAUAAGGUAUAUUGUGAAAAGAUCUUCAAUAUGUGAAUGCAUCUUCCAUUAUGACCUAGCUAUGAUUUAUCAUCCCCUUAUAUGGGGCUGUUCAUGGGUCUGGCUUGCCGUCAACCUGACCUGACCUGAGAUCAUUUGGCUUGUGCUGGUUUGUGAUACAACCUGACUGACUGCGGAAAGGAUCAGUUCAGGGAUUAAGGCUUGGCAAUGAUGAAAUUAUGCGGUUACGUAACACAGAUGUGAAGAAUCUGUUAUGCCACAAAAAGCUUUACUUGGUUCUUGAUUUAGACCAUACAUUGCUUAAUUCUACUCAGCUCAUGCAUAUGACAUUAGAGGAGGAAUAUUUGAAGAGUCAAAUAGAUUCUCUGCAAGAUGUUUCAAAUGGUAGCCUGUUCAUGUUGGACUUCAUGCACAUGAUGACCAAGUUAAGGCCCUUUGUACGCACAUUUCUCAAGGAAGCAAGUCAAAUGUUUGAGAUGUACGUAUACACGAUGGGUGAUAGAGCAUAUGCGAUGGAAAUGGCUAACCUGCUUGACCCUAGAAGAGAGUACUUCAAUGCUAGAGUUAUUUCACGUGAUGAUGGAACUCAAAGAAAUCAAAAAGGACUUGAUAUUGUUUUGGGGCAAGAAAGUGCUGUUCUGAUCCUUGAUGAUACAGAAACUGCAUGGACAAAGCACAAAGACAAUUUGAUAUUGAUGGAAAGAUAUCAUUUUUUCGCUUCAAGUUGUCACCAAUUUGGCUUCAAUUGUAAAUCACUUUCGGAGCUAAAGAGUGACGAGAGUGACUCAGAUGGAGCACUUGCAUCUGUUCUUAAAGUGUUGAGGAAAAUUCACCAUAUGUUCUUCGAUGAGCUAGUGGAUAAUCUUGAUGGCAGAGAUGUGAGACAGGUUUUAAAAACUGUUCGUAAGGAUGUAUUGAAGGGAUGUAAAAUUGUCUUUAGUCGAGUUUUUCCUGCCCAAUUUCAGGCUGAAAACCACCAUCUCUGGAAAAUGGCUGAGCAAUUGGGAGGCACGUGCUCCGGAGAACUCGACCCAUCAGUUACACAUGUGGUGUCCCAAGAAGCUGGGACCGAGAAGUCUCGUUGGGCUCUGAAGAACAAGAAGUUUUUGGUUCAUCCACGGUGGAUAGAGGCUGCAAAUUAUUUGUGGCAAAGACAGCCUGAAGAGAAUUUCUGUGUCAACCAACCAAAAAAUCAAUAGUCAGUAUCUUCAUUUAGGUUUAAACAAUUUUUGUAGUAAUUGAUAAUUUGAGGGCUUGGUGUUUGGUUCCUGUUUAGUAAUGUAGGUUCCUUGACCUCGCAUCACCAUAUAUUAUGGUUACCUGUAUACAUCAAGCGGUUCACAGAAUCAUGUAAAAUCACCAAAUGUGUUUGAUAGCACCCAUGAUCGUCAAGUGGUGAAUGAUCAAAGCCCCACUGAAUUUCAUUUGUUGAUGCUGCUUGGCUAUAUGGAUUAUUUUUAGAAUAUUUUUCGCUUAGGUCUGCUCAAACUGUCAGUGUAUUGUUGCCGCUAGUGGGACUUAUCUGGUUGUUAGUGCCCCACAGGGGAGGAGUGAUUAUCAUUUUGGUGAUCAUAGUUCGGUUAAUCAAAUUGUUAACAAUUCGGUUAAUUGAAAUUUUUAGUAUGUUGAAAUUUUUAGUAUGUUUUGAAUUGAAUCCUUAAUAUCAAUUAGCUGCUUAUUGGUUUCAUUUAUAAGCUGAGUGUAUUUAAAUUCAACUAAGAACAGCGAAGGAAACGGGCUGCUUAGACUGCACGGCUGAUUUGUAUGCCAUCCGUGAUUACGCGCAAACGAAUAUUACUUGCAUUUAAUAGUGGAUUAGUGGAUUAGCAACAAGUCAAUUAGUAGAGAUUAUUGUUUAAGCGGGUGAGUGUUUG
rnacentral:misc_RNA from 1 species